rfam:Pseudomonas batumici strain TCM B-321 Contig_18, whole genome shotgun sequence.
AUACGUGUAGGGUGGAGAUGCACAACCGUCGGACUGUGUAGCAUUAGGCUUGAUCAAGACGCUUCAUAUCGUCCACACCCGCGGUUGAUUCCUCCUCCUGACAGAGCUUUUGCUUGCGAAGGUGUCGUUUGUCACCCUUCGAGCAGGACGCGUGAGUCGCGACUUCGCCCCCUCUGGACGAACCUCGGCCGACACAGGAAUGGCCAACCACUCCUGACGCACCUGACACCGACCGUGAGAAGUCGUGUGUGCCGAACGCCGUUUCCGGCAGCCCGGAAACCGA